UACGUAGGUGGCAAGCGGUAUCCGGAAUUAUUGGGCGUAAAGCGCGCGCAGGUGGUUUCUUAAGUCUGAUGUGAAAGCCCACGGCUCAACCGUGGAGGGUCAUUGGAAACUGUGAGACUUGAGUGCAGAAGAGGAAAGUGGAAUUCCAUGUGUAGCGGUGAAAUGCGUAGAGAUAUGGAGGAACACCAGUGGCGAAGGCGACAUUCUGGACUGAAACUGACACUGAGGUGCGAAAGCGUGUGGAGCAAACAGG
rnacentral:rRNA from 1 species